GGAGGGAUCAUUACACAAAUAUGAAGGCGGGCUGGAACCUCUCGGGGUUACAGCCUUGCUGAAUUAUUCACCCUUGUCUUUUGCGUACUUCUUGUUUCCUUGGUGGGUUCGCCCACCACUAGGACAAACAUAAACCUUUUGUAAUUGCAAUCAGCGUCAGUAACAAAUUAAUAAUUACAACUUUCAACAACGGAUCUCUUGGUUCUGGCAUCGAUGAAGAACGCAGCGAAAUGCGAUAAGUAGUGUGAAUUGCAGAAUUCAGUGAAUCAUCGAAUCUUUGAACGCACAUUGCGCCCUUUGGUAUUCCAAAGGGCAUGCCUGUUCGAGCGUCAUUUGUACCCUCAAGCUUUGCUUGGUGUUGGGCGUCUUGUCUCUAGCUUUGCUGGAGACUCGCCUUAAAGUAAUUGGCAGCCGGCCUACUGGUUUCGGAGCGCAGCACAAGUCGCACUCUCUAUCAGCAAAGGUCUAGCAUCCAUUAAGCCUUUUUUUUCAACUUUUGACCUCGGAUCAGGUAGGGAUACCCGCUGAA
rnacentral:rRNA from 1 species